UUCGAUAAAGGCAAACUCUUCGUAAGGAGAGGACGCAAAGCCACAGGGUCCAGCAAUAGGACAGCCUAGCUACCGAAG
rnacentral:ncRNA from 1 species